rnacentral:rRNA from 1 species
AACGAACGCUGGCGGCAGGCUUAACACAUGCAAGUCGAGCGCCCCGCAAGGGGAGCGGCAGACGGGUGAGUAACGCGUGGGAACGUACCUUUUGGUUCGGAACAACUCCGGGAAACUGGAGCUAAUACCGGAUAAGCCCUAACGGGGAAAGAUUUAUCGCCGAAAGAUCGGCCCGCGUCUGAUUAGCUAGUUGGUGAGGUAACGGCUCACCAAGGCGACGAUCAGUAGCUGGUCUGAGAGGAUGAUCAGCCACACUGGGACUGAGACACGGCCCAGACUCCUACGGGAGGCAGCAGUGGGGAAUAUUGGACAAUGGGCGCAAGCCUGAUCCAGCCAUGCCGCGUGAGUGAUGAAGGCCUUAGGGUUGUAAAGCUCUUUUGUCCGGGAAGAUGAUGACUGUACCGGAAGAAUAAGCCCCGGCUAACUUCGUG